CCUACGGGAGGCAGCAGUGAGGAAUAUUGGUCAAUGGGCGUAAGCCUGAACCAGCCAAGUCGCGUGAGGGAUGAAGGUUCUAUGGAUCGUAAACCUCUUUUAUAAGGGAAUUAAGUGCGGGACGUGUCCCGUUUUGUAUGUACCUUAUGAAUCAGGAUCGGCGAACGCCGUGCCAGCAGCCGCGGUAAUACGGAGGAUCCGAGCGUUAUCCGGAUUUAUUGGGUUUAAAGGGUGUGUAGGCGGCCUUUUAAGUCAGCGGGGAAAGUCUGUGGCUCAACCAUAGAAUUGCCGUUGAAACUGGGAGGCUUGAGUGUGUUUGAGGCAGGCGGAAUGCGUGGUGUAGCGGUGAAAUGCUUAGAUAUCACGCAGAACCCCGAUUGCGAAGGCAGCCUGCCAAGCCAUGACUGACGCUGAUGCACGAAAGCGUGGGGAUCAAACAGGAUUAGAUACCCUUGUAGUC
rnacentral:rRNA from 1 species